rnacentral:rRNA from 1 species
CAACAGGGAUUGCCUUAGUAACGGCGAGUGAAGCGGCAAAAGCUCAAAUUUGAAAUCUGGCACCUUCGGUGUCCGAGUUGUAAUUUGAAGAAGGUAACUUUGGAGUUGGCUCUUGUCUAUGUUCCUUGGAACAGGACGUCACAGAGGGUGAGAAUCCCGUGCGAUGAGAUGCCCAAUUCUAUGUAAAGUGCUUUCGAAGAGUCGAGUUGUUUGGGAAUGCAGCUCUAAGUGGGUGGUAAAUUCCAUCUAAAGCUAAAUAUUGGCGAGAGACCGAUAGCGAACAAGUACAGUGAUGGAAAGAUGAAAAGAACUUUGAAAAGAGAGUGAAAAAGUACGUGAAAUUGUUGAAAGGGAAGGGCUUGAGAUCAGACUUGGUAUUUUGCGAUCCUUUCCUUCUUGGUUGGGUUCCUCGCAGCUUACUGGGCCAGCAUCGGUUUGGAUGGUAGGAUAAUGACUAAGGAAUGUGGCUCUACUUCGGUGGAGUGUUAUAGCCUUGGUUGAUACUGCCUGUCUAGACCGAGGACUGCGUCUUUUGACUAGGAUGUUGGCAUAAUGAU